rnacentral:pre_miRNA from 1 species
UGUGUGACUGGUUGACCAGAGUGGCCAGCACUCGGUUCACCCUCUGGGCCACCUAGUCACCAA